AGUUUGCUGACUUCGAUCUUAUUCCUACAGGGUCACAGUCAAAGUGGAAGUUCUCUCCUCCCUUCAGAGAAAGUUGUCUUCUCACUUGCCUGGAAAUCAGGCAAAGGGGUUCUUACCAAGAUCCCGGAAGAGGAUUUUCAAAGGGAAGGAAGGGCUGGCUGGCCCCAGGGCAAGGGAGAGUCACAUAAACAGAAAAGCAGCCCCUGGGCUUGACAACAUGGAGAACCUGCUUCACUGGCUGCAGCUGUGAACAGAAAGUGAGGAAGGGGGCAACUGCACUUUACCAGAGGUAAGACUUUACAAAGAAUGAAAAUGGGCUGGCGCCGAGGCUCACUAGGCUAAUCCUCCGCCUUGCGAUGCUGGCACACCAAGUUCUAGUCCCGGUCGGGGCGCCGGAUUCUGUCCCAGUUGCCCCUCUUCCACGCCAGCUCUCUGCUGUAGCCUGGGAGUACAGUGGAGGAUGGCCCAAGUACUUGGGCCCUGCACCCCAUGGGAGACCAGGAGAAGCACCUGGCUCCUGCCUUCGGAUCAGCGCGGUGCGCCGGCCGCAGCGCACUGGCCACAGUGGCCAUUGGAGGGUGAGCCAACGGCAAAGGAAGACCUUUCUCUCUGUCUCUCUCUCACUGUCCACUCUGCCUGUAAAAAAAAAAAAAAAAAAAGAAUGAAAAUGGCAGAGUGAUUGCUCAAUGACUGCCAAGAUUGGAAGAUAAUCGUGUGCAACAUUUCUGCACGUGCUAUAUGCGUACAGAAAAUAGGUAGAGCAAGAUAGUUAGACCCACAAGAGACAGAGACCUUCGUGAAGCAGCAUCACAUGGCAGGCGGGAGGGAGGCAUUCUCCAGUGGAGGAGGAGGCUGCUGUCAUGCAGGGUGCAGGGUGGGCAGACAGACGCGUUCUCAGAGCAUCUGCAACCCCUCGCAGCCUGGAGCUGCACAAGGGCGCUUAGUGGAUGGGCAGUUGGGGGUCGGGGGUGAGCUCUGUCUGCUACAGGUUGUUCCUUGGGCGUAUUGAAGAAGGGCUCAGUAACUGGAGUGAACUGUUAGGAUUUUUAGGGUGCUUUUAUAAAACUCUAUCAGAAAAAAUAUGAGUAGCCCUAUACCCAUGAAUAUUUUACUUUUUCUCAAAUAACUCCAGUGUGCUUUAUUGCUUUUGAUCUUCCUCCUUUUCUCUGUCUUCUGGCCGUGCCGCUAUCAUGGAGUGAAUUCAAACUCCCAGGCGGAAGUGCAGUGACUUGAUCAAGGGGACGCAAUUAUAGAGUGAAAACAUCGUAGUGAAGUUCCUCACGUUCCCGGGAAUCUCCUUCAAGUGAUAUUCUGCUGGAUUAUAUGCAAAUACCGCCUAAAAGCCAAGGAGGAGUUACAGAUCUCUGUGA